GAAUGACAUUAUCCGGAUAGCUUGGCCCAGCCUGGUCAUCCCACCCUAUUGGCAGCAGGACAACUGUGAGACAGAAACAAACAGCCUCAGCCAGCGAAAUCAGACCCUGGGGAAAGUGGAAAUGGGGUGCAGAGAGCUUGUGGAAAGAUGAAUAAAAACAAGGAAGAGGUUUGGGUAGGGAUGUGAUAAAAUAAAAACUGGAAUAUGGGAUUCUAAUUUAAAAAGAAUAAUGCUGGUUGGCAUGUGGCCAACUGAACUGAACAGAUGACACUGAAGACCAGCUUCUACUUUUUCUCCCUCCACUGGUUCCACAUAUCUACAUACUUGGUCACUGAGGAAGCCCCUAUAAUUGUAGGUAAAUAUUAGAAAAGGGAAUGGGGGAGUCACAGGAUUAACUGAAAUUGUUUUAUUAGUCCAGGGACUUUCUGCUGCAGUAGAAAUUCACUAGUUAGAACAAAAUAAAUAAUAUGAAAUUCUUGAA